UUGCUACAGAUGUGCCCGCUGUCAUAAGCCAGAUAACUGCACCCUCAAAAAGCCUUGCAACAUCUGCAAAGAGUUGCAUCUCACCAUCCUGCAUAACAUCGUACCUCAACCAUCCACAGGCCCCCAUGGCUCAGAGAAAUCAGCUACGGGGAACACCCUCAAUCUGCUCGUCCGUGCACCUUGCCCUGCCGACACUCUGUACGUAGAUCAGCCAAACAGAUCUCCCCGUGUGAUGUUGAAGGUAGUCCCAGUUUUCUUAAUCAAUGGCCGGCAGAGGCUGAGGACAUAUGCCAUACUUGACGAUGGUUCAGAAAGAACGAUCAUCCUAACCUCGGCAGUGUCCCAGCUGAAACUAGAAGGACCGGAAGAGAUCCUGAAUCUCAGAACGGUGCGUCAUGAAGUGAUUCCCAUAAGUGGUGAGACAAUCUCCUGUUCGAUCUCCCCAGUGAACCAGAAGAAGAGUAAAUUCCUUAUAGCCAAUGCCUUUAGUGCCCCUGUCCUCAACUUGGCUGAGCACUCCUGUCCAGCCUCUGACCUGCAGAGGGAGUAUUCUCACUUGCGAGGCCUACCCUUACCAGACUUUGUCCACGCCCGGCCACUGAUCCUGAUAGGCUCAGAUCAUUGCCACUUGUUGGUGCCCAAAGAGCCUGUCCACAUUGGCCCUUAUGGGGGACCCAUCGCCGUCCAUACUGCCCUGGGUUGGACUGUUCAGGGCCCAGCCAAUGCCUUACCUCGACCUCCGACUUCUGGUGUACAAGCCUUGUUUACACUCUGCAAUACUGUCUCCUGCCCAGCUACUGCCGAGUUGAUGGAGAAUGUGGAGAGACUGUGGAGACUAGAUUCCUUUCCACACCGUAAGGAGAAGGACGUAACCCGGUCUAAGCAAGAUCAUUAUUGCCUGGAGCUGCUUGAGACGAAAACUGCAGUGACAGAAGCAGGGGGAGUGUCUCGGUAUGCUACCCCAUUGCUCAGAGCACCCAACAGUCCACAGUUAAUCUCUUCAACCCAUAACUUGUUGCCAUGGCUGCGAGGAACUGAACGCAGGUUGAAGAAGGACCCUGAGCUCGUUGAGAUCUGCAACCAGGAGAUCCAGAAACUGGUUGAGAUGGAGUAU
rnacentral:lncRNA from 1 species